rnacentral:rRNA from 1 species
AUGUCGCCGAGCGUAUCUGGUCGCGAUAACUCCCAUAGUAGCGGUGAUGAGUGGGUACCAAGAAGUCAACGACCACGGCAACAGAAAGGGCGAGCAAAGAAGGCAACACCUAUAGAGGUUGGUCUGCUUGAAUCCUUCAACCCCUUCCCACCCCUUUUCAUCGCCUCUAAUGCAGACAUGAGACCAAAAGCGCUAGGGGAUUUUGCUCCUCGUGUUACUCCAAUUCCAGUCGUUACUCCACCUGCAGUUGUUGCUUCAGCUCCUCAAGAGCAUGUCAACACAAAGGAAAGAGAAGGUACUAAAGAAGAUUGUACAACUAUGGUGAUCAAUGAUCGCAAAGUUACUCCGGUUCCAAGUGUUACUCCAUAUGUAGUUGUUACUCCAUCUCCUCAACAACAUGAUAUCACAAAGGAAAGAAAAAGUACUAAAGAAGAUGGUACAACUAUGGUGACCAAUGAUCGCAAUUUGUUGGCAUGUACCCGAUUUGCCUCGCGUUGUAUGGAUGAAAGUGCUCCCAAAGAUAUUGGUCGCAGUCCACAACCAAUAACCAAGUACCACGCCACAACCAAGAAGCGGAGCCUGUGGGGGCAAGUUUCACCUAUGGUUGGCUUGAGGAUGGAUAAGUGGACCAGAGCAGCACGAGCAGGAGAAGCAUCUGGACGGCGAGGGGCUCAAGAGCUGGAGUGCGAGCGGGACGACGAGCUAGAAGGAGAGCAGGACGCCGAGCAAGAUGCUGAGAGGGACGGUGAGCAGGAUGCCGAGCAGGAGGAGCCAGAGACAGCGCCACCUCCGCGAGAAAGUACUGAAGAAGAUGCUACAACUUUGGUGAUUAAUGAUCGCAAUGUUACUCCGAUUCCAACUAUUACUCCAUAUCUAGCUGUUACUCCAUCUCCUCGAGAGCAUGCCGACACAAAGGAAAGAGAAAGUAAUAAAGAAGAUGCUACAACCGUGGUGAUCAAUGACCUCAAUCUGCCAGGGCAUAGUUUACCAUCCAACGUGGUAUCCCCUCGGUCUACGGACCAGUCCGAAAUCCCACAAAUCGGACACAAACCAGGGGGCUUUGCGUGUGUCCAGACCACUGCCACCUACAUGUUCGCCACCCCGCACCCACUCAAAUCCUCUCCCGCGCCUUCUCUCAGUGAUGAGGAGAAGCACAAGGUGGUCGGCCUUGUGAUUGGCUGGCAGGGCCGUCAUGCACGGUGGAUACAAGCAAGCAUGUCGGCAACCUUGCCGGAGGUGAGCGACAAUGUCCGGAAGAUGAGCCGGCACCCCUGCCUGCGCCGAUCCAUGUUAGUCUCACCAUGGAGGAAGAGUAGGCACACUUCAUCGCCGUCAUGGCGGAGGAGCAGCAGGCGCCCGGCUGGUGGAGGGCCAAACUAUGGUGAAUUCGCGAGCGAGGAGGCCGUGGCAGCCAUGGCCGCGGUGAACCUGAACUUCGUCGAGGAGCAGCAGACACUCGACGAGGCCACAUGCAGCGGUCGCGCGGUGGCAUCAAAAGUGCAAGUGGUAUGCAAUGGGAACGCCAAACAGUUGUGUGCCAUUGGCACCGCUACAACCAUGAGUGAUACGGGACGCCUCGGAAACGAUCUUUUACGGUGCCAAAGAACUCACAAGGAGCAGCAACAAACUCACUCGAUACUUGUUUCAACAAACUUUGUUUCUCUCAAGUGGCAAGAACAAAAGGAAACACUCUCAGAUAAAUUGCAGCGGACAACUAGCUGGGUUUACAAGGAUGCAACCCAAACCAUGAAACUUGUGAACCUAUGA